rnacentral:rRNA from 1 species
UACGGGGGGGGCAAGCGUUGUUCGGAAUUACUGGGCGUAAAGGGCUCGUAGGCGGGGAGGUAAGUCGGGUGUGAAAUCCCUCGGCCCAACCGAGGAACUGCGCCCGAGACUGCUUCUCUUGAGUCCCGGAGAGGAAGAUGGAAUUCCCGGUGUAGCGGUGAAAUGUGUAGAGAUCGGGAGGAACACCGGUGGCGAAGGCGGUCUUCUGGACGGUGACUGACGCUGAGGCGCGAAAGCGUGGGGAGCAAACGGG